AGUCUUUAUCUUCUUCUUUGAGACGUAAAUCUUUUUUAAAGCCUCUUGCAAAUUUUACAACCCAGGAAUAUUUUUCUCGAGGACCAUACUUUUCAAAUGUAUUCAUCAAGGAAGAUGGCACCCCAAUCUCUGUUUCUGUAGGCAAGGAGGAGCCUAACUUCAGUAGGUAGCCUUGUUCCAGAUUGUAAACCUACUUCUUGGCAUGAAGGAAAUUUCUGAGGCACAGAAAUUUAUCUUCAACUUACCUGAAUUAAGAACUGAGAUUCCCAACAUGAAUGCUAGCAAGAAUUUCUGACUUCAUGGCUCUACACUGUGCAACUUCAAUAAGAACUACUAGAUGUCAAGAUAGUUUAUCAGAAGAAGCUGAUCCGUGGCUCCUUGGUCAUCUUCACCUGCAUACACAAGUGCCUGAAGCUGGAGCAUCCAGAGAGUAAUUAGACAGAGAAAUCUGGCAAACUUUUACACUGGUGAACCAAGAAGGAAAAAGCUAAAUUGUCAUUAGUUGCACAUAAUAUAUUUCUAUUCCUGGUAAAUGCAAAAGGACCACUUAAAAACUAAUAAGCCUAAUGAGUAUUCAGUAAAAUAGUCAGAUACAAGGAAACAUACCAAAAUAAUAGCUUUCUCAAAUGCCAGCAAUAAUCAGUUAGGAACUCAAGCGCGCGCGCGCACAUACACAAACACACACCACAUACACACAAUUUAAAGGAGAAAAAAACUCCUACUGGGUACUUAGGAAUGAACUUCAGAAAUUAGAGAAAGGUGCAACUGAACAAAAUAACAAAUAGUAAAGAAGUAUUAAUUUUAAAGUCUUAAUAAAAGGUACCAUAUUACUGGAAUAGAAGAAUCAAUAAUACAAAUAUAUCAGUUAUCCCAAAAUAAACAUGAUAUUUCAAUGUAAUCUCCUUCCAAACUGUAAUAAGA